UUUGCAUUGUACUCUGAAUCCCUGGCUCUGUGGAGGCUUGAGCCACACAGACUCUUGACAGGAGGCUUAUAAGAAGUCAAAGCCUGUCAAAUCAAAAAUUCACAUGAUGAGACACAUCAUGGUGGGGCGGCCUCACACUUUCUAGCUGUUUGCAUCCUGACAAAAUGACAGUGUGUUAUUCCAGGGGAGAGGCUGGCCUAGCAACAGUCCGACACGAGUCAUGAAAUCCCGACAUAUGCUGUUACGUCGAGCACGAACAGCAGAAUUUACUCGCAUCACGUGUGCCUCUCUUUCCUGAGUUAUGUCUUGUUCUGAGAAAACCUCAUGAUACUGUACACAUCUGGAUAACAGCAGCAACAACAGCCUCUCAUCUGUUUCUGAAGAUUAGCGCAAGGGUUCAGUGUACCGGCACGGGAAAGACAUUUCUUUGAAAUUAAAGAGGAUGAAGGAACUCACUUGUACGGCCUUGAUUUACUUGUAGUCAGCAGCUCUCAAGGGCGCAGUGAUGUAACAGGAUGGAUAUGCACCAACAGGUCCUGCAGGCAGUGAGAAGACACACAGUUAACCAUGGAAGGAAGUCUGGCGAGAUGAUGAUACUUCAGAGCUGAGCCAUCCUCCUCAUGGAAACCUCCUCUGCUCGAGCAUCCGAGGGGCUGAGAGGCCGCCGUGACGUGGGCGAACAGACAGACGCUUCGACCACCUGUGAUGGAGUGUUGGUGGAUGACUUCACGGCAGCUCUCGGAGGAAGCCAUGUGAAAUCCAUUGACGGCAGAAAAGAGAGGGAGAGAAAAAAAAAAGGGCCGGCCUGGCUCGCCGUCCUGAAACUCUGAAUUUAUUUGCCAAAAACAGAACAAUUCUUCCUUUGAGGAGCUGUACAGAAGAGCCUGAGUAGCUGCGAGCUACGUUCCAACAUGGUCACCUGAGCAGUAAACGUCUGCCAUCGUGGACAGCCAGGAAAAAAAAAAAAAAAGAAAGAAAGAUGGCAGGAAGGACGGUCACUGCAGUUUCAGGAGAGCGCGUUGGAGAGGAGAAAAAACAAAAACACCUGCACACACGCCACACCUGUCCUCGAAGAUGGCGAAAAAACUCUUACCCCCCCUCCCAAGACUCAUCAUGCAGCUCGGAUCACUUCUUUCCUCCCAUGUGUUGAAUGUGCAGACACCCCAAUGUGCCAGACCCCGCGAAGCAGGUGCACCUCGCCGAAGCCAGAUUUUAGACCCACCGUCUCCUAGCAACAACACCAGAAGAGGAGAGCGCCACCGGCUUCCAAGGGCUACCGCUAUUUACCAAAAAAAAACCCUUCCUCUGGCUUUGUUUGGCUCUUUUGGUUUAAAAAAAGAAAAGGAAAAAAGAAAAAGAAAAAAAAAAAAAAAAACUAGGCCACCGGUUCUGGUGCACCAGACUGAACUGGUUAACAGAUAGAGGACAAAUUAGUGUGUAGUUGUUUGUGGUUUGCAGCAGGUGUGAGGUAUAAAUGAGCGGAGGGGUGCUCGUUGGUGCUCUUCCAGGUGAUAAGCAGGUCACAGAGCCACGAGGUGAAGUUUUUCCGGGCCAGAUAUCCUGCAGACUGCCUCCAGCCAGUCUGUUAAUGCACCUCAUUAUGG